rnacentral:rRNA from 1 species
UAGUGGCGACGGGUGAGUAACACGUGAGUAACCUGCCCUUGACUCUGGGAUAACCUCCGGAAACGGAAGCUAAUACCGGAUAUGACGYWCGGAGGCAUCUCCUGUACGUGGAAAGAACUUCGGUCAAGGAUGGACUCGCGGCCUAUCAGGUAGUUGGUGAGGUAACGGCCCACCAAGCCUACGACGGGUAGCCGGCCUGAGAGGGUGACCGGCCACACUGGGACUGAGACACGGCCCAGACUCCUACGGGAGGCAGCAGUGGGGAAUAUUGCACAAUGGGCGCAAGCCUGAUGCAGCAACGCCGCGUGAGGGAUGACGGCCUUCGGGUUGUAAACCUCUUUUAGUAGGGAAGAAGCGAAAGUGACGGUACCUGCAGAAAAAGCACCGGCUAACUACGUGCCAGCAGCCGCGGUAAUACGUAGGGUGCGAGCGUUGUCCGGAAUUAUUGGGCGUAAAGAGCUCGUAGGCGGUCUGUCGCGUCUGCUGUGAAAACCCGAGGCUCAACCUCGGGCCUGCAGUGGGUACGGGCAGACUAGAGUGCGGUAGGGGAGAAUGGAAUUCCUGGUGUAGCGGUGGAAUGCGCAGAUAUCAGGAGGAACACCGAUGGCGAAGGCAGUUCUCUGGGCCGUAACUGACGCUGAGGAGCGAAAGCGUGGGGGAGCGAACAGGAUUAGAUACCCUGGUAGUCCACGCCGUAAACGUUGGGGCGCUAGAUGUGGGGACCAUUCCACGGGUUUCCGUGUCGCAGCUUAACGCAUUUAAGCGCCCCGCCUGGGGAGUACGGCCGCAAGGCUAAACUUCAAAGGAAUUUGACGGGGGGCCCGCACAAGCGGCGGGAGCCAUGCGGGAUUUAAUUCCGAUGCAACGGCGAAGAACCUUUACCAAGGGCUUGACAUU